UACGGAGGGUGCAAGCGUUAUCCGGAUUCACUGGGUUUAAAGGGUGCGUAGGUGGGCAGGUAAGUCAGUGGUGAAAUCUCCGGGCUUAACCCGGAAACUGCCAUUGAUACUAUCUGUCUUGAAUACCGUGGAGGUGAGCGGAAUAUGUCAUGUAGCGGUGAAAUGCUUAGAAUAUGACAUAGAACACCAAUUGCGAAGGCAGCUCACUACGCGAAUAUUGACACUGAGGCACGAAAGCGUGGGGAUCAAACAGG
rnacentral:rRNA from 1 species